rnacentral:sRNA from 1 species
UGAUCCUACACCACCGACGUUUCCACCGUCUAUGGCCUCCAUGUCGUCGCUCUCCUGCUUCUCAGCCAGGCCGUCUUCUCAUUUACUAAACUAUCCAAGAGUUUAUAAUCUGAAAAGUUGGAAUGUGAAGAAAAAGACGAAAAUUAAUUAACCAAAGAUGGUUCAAACCUUAACUUUCCCAGGUCGACCAGACUACAAGUCGCCCAUUUUAAGCAUUCCUUCUACAAAGGCCUUGAAAAAUUGAUCUUGAUUUGUACUGAAGAAUCUUACAAACUCCCUUGUCUGUGGGAAUGUGAAAAGUGUUUGAUCAGAGUUGAGAAACCCUCUCCCCGCAACCAAGUCCUUGAAAUACUGAUUAUAAAACAAAAGAGACGUGGAGAAGCGUUCAGGUCGCGGC